CCCUAUGGGGUGCGUCGUCAACGGGCCCGGGGAGGCCGCCGAGGCGGAUGUGGGCAUUGCCGGGGGCCGGGGGCUGGGCAUCCUGUUCAGACAGGGAAAGCCCGUGAAAAAGAUCAAGGAGGAGACCCUCGUCGAGGCCCUCCUGACAGAAAUCGAAGCGAUGAAAUCGAAAAGGGGGACGUGAUCAUGCGGUAUUCCGAGAUGUUUCUGCCAACGGUGAGGGAGGUUCCGUCCGAUGCGGAGGUCAGCAGCCACCAGCUCAUGAUCCGGGCGGGGAUGAUCCGAAAGCUGACGGCGGGGAUCUACUCCGUCCUCCCGCUGGGAUACCGCAGCGUGAAGAAAGUCGAGGAGAUCAUCCGGCAGGAGAUGGACGCGGCGGGGGGGC
rnacentral:rRNA from 1 species